CCUACGGGGCGCAGCAGUGGGGGAUAUUGGACAAUGGGGGGAACCCUGAUCCAGCGACGCCGCGCGCGUGAAGAAGUAUUUCGGUAUGUAAAGCUCUGUCAGCAGGGAAGAAAGCGAUGACGGUACCUGACCAAGAAGCCCCGGCUAAGUACGUGCCAGCAGCCGCGGUAAUACGUAGGGGGCAAGCGUUAUCCGGAAUUACUGGGUGUAAAGGGAGCGUAGACGGCUGGGCAAGUAUGGAGUGAAAGGCGGGGGCCCAACCCCCGGACUGAGCUCGAAAGUGUAAGGCUGGAGU
rnacentral:rRNA from 1 species